rnacentral:rRNA from 1 species
ACAUGCCUACAACAUAUCGUUAAUGCACCGGAUCCCAUUAGAACUCCACAGUUAAGUGCACUUAGGCUAAAGUAGUACUAGGAUGGGUGAUUUCCCAGGAAUUCCAAGUGUUUUACAUGCC